rnacentral:snoRNA from 1 species
AAGUAACACUGUGUGGCAGAUGAUAAAACUGUCUGAUAGAAUUUGAGCUUGCUAUAGCAAGAAUCUAACCUAGUCCCACGUUCUCUCCUCACUAAGACAAGCUAUUAGACUUAAACAAU